UGAUAUCGUUCAACGAGCUUUGAGAGAAGAACCUCGGGUGUAGUGAAUGUUUGAUAAGAGAGCAGGAAGGUGUGGACAAAAUCCAAAUCUGGAAGAGUCAAGAUCUCCUACUGUCUGGUCAAGCGUCAUUUUGAUUCGUCUUGAGCUCUGAAUGACUGGAAUGUCAACAUUGACAACGAUCGGUGCAAGCUUACCACCAAUGAGCUGCAAGCAACAAAGCAUGUUAUGAUUAGAGAGUUAAUUGGUUUUUGGCCGUUUGAAACACCUUGCACUCGAGCAGAUCCUGUAGUGAGAAACCGUUUGGGUUAGAAUGUGAUUUUAUGUAUAGAGAAA